rnacentral:tRNA from 1 species
CUUUUGAAGGAUAAUAGUCAUCCACUGGCCUUAGGCGCC